AACGAACGCUGGCGGCAGGCCUAACACAUGCAAGUCGAGCGAUCCCUUCGGGGAUAGCGGCGGACGGGUGAGUAACGCGUGGGAACGUACCCUUUGCUACGGAAUAGCCUCGGGAAACUGGGAGUAAUACCGUAUGUGCCCUUCGGGGGAAAGAUUUAUCGGCAAAGGAUCGGCCCGCGUUGGAUUAGGUAGUUGGUGGGGUAAUGGCCUACCAAGCCUACGAUCCAUAGCUGGUUUGAGAGGAUGAUCAGCCACACUGGGACUGAGACACGGCCCAGACUCCUACGGGAGGCAGCAGUGGGGAAUCUUAGACAAUGGGGGCAACCCUGAUCUAGCCAUGCCGCGUGAGUGAUGAAGGCCUUAGGGUUGUAAAGCUCUUUCAGGGGGGAAGAUAAUGACUGUACCCCCAGAAGAAGCCCCGGCUAACUCCGUGCCAGCAGCCGCGGUAAUGUACAGUGU
rnacentral:rRNA from 1 species